AUGGCCAUGAGCAGGAGGUGCAGGGCACACCUUGGUUGGCCCUCCAGACAGGUAGCCUCCCCGGGAAGCAAGGGGUGGGUUAUACCAAGGUGUUGUGGGCAGGGGUUCUGCGCCUGGUUCCCCUUCAGAAAUGAUCCUGAACCCCAAACUCACCUCUGCCACUCUCUCCACAGGCCCCACGCUGGGCGAGAAGUCCGAGGCCAAGACCGGGGCAGCGCCCAAGGUCUCGGGUCUCGAGCGCAGCCGCGAGCUGAGCACCGAGCCGCCCUUCUUGGCCCCCGUGCGCAGCCCCGCGCCGGUCUUGCCCUCCGCCAGCACCGCGGCCAGCCCGCUGGUCAAGAAGGAAGCCCCGGCGCUGCCCCGCCUUGCCCCGCAGCUGCCACCCGCGCCCUCGCAGCCCCGGGCCCCGCUCCUGACGCACGUGCCUCUCCCUCCGGGCGCCUUCCCGGGCCCCGGCCCGGCCGCGCACAACGGCCUGCACAGCCUCAGGCCCAGCACCAGCACCACGCGGCGGCCAUGUUCGCCGCGCCCCCGACACUGCCCCCGCCCCCGGCGCUGCCGGCCAACAGCCUGGUCAUCCCAGGACACCCCGCCGAUCACGAGCUGCUCAGGCAAGAGCUGAACGCGCGUUUUCUGGUCCAGAGCGCCCCCCUGGGCCCGGGAGCUCUGCUGCGGGCGGAGUUCCACCAGCACCAACACACACACCAGCACACACACCAGCACCAACACACAUUCGCCCCCUUCCCUGCCGGGCCGCCCCCGCCGCCGCUCCUGCCGCACGCCGCACCCCCGCCGUUUGACAAGUACACGCCCAAGCUGGACAGCCCCUACUUCCGACAUUCCAACUUUUUCCCGCCCUUCCCUCCGGCCGUCCCAGGACUGCCCGCCCUGCUCCCACACCCAGGCCCCUUUGGAUCCCUGCAGGGUGCUUUUCAGCCCAAGACUUCAAACCCACUCGAGUUAACAGGCCGGGCCAGUGCGGUUCACACCCUCCUGCAGAAAGCCCCCGGGGUGUCUGACCCGUACCGGACAGCAAUCAGGAAGCCGGGGAAGUGGUGCGCUGUGCACGUGCAGAUCGCCUGGCAGAUCUACCACCAUCAGCAGAAGAUAAAGAUGCAGCUGGAGCCCCACAAGCUGGACGUGGGCACCAAGCUGGACUUAUUCAGCAGACCCCCCGCCCCGGGCGUGUUCGCCGGAUUCCACUACCCACAGGACCUGGCCCGGCCCCUCUUCUCCAGCUCGGGUGCCACCCAUCCUGCCGCCAACCCGUUCGGACCCUCAGCGCAUCCUGGCAGCUUCCUGCCCACUGGUCACUUGACAGACCCUUUCAGCAGAUCAAGCACCUUCGGGGGCCUGGGGAGCCUAGGCAGCAACGCUUUUGGAGGCCUCGGCAGCCACGCGCUGACUCCCAGCAGCGGCGGCAUCUUUGCCCCCAAGGAGGGCCCCACACUGCACGGUCUGCCCAGCCCCCACGAGGCCUGGAACCGGCUGCACCGAGCACCACCCUCCUUCCCCACGCCACCCCCAUGGCCCAAGCCCUUAGACGCCGAGCGGGUCUCAGCCCUGACCAACCACGACCGAGAGCUGGACAAGGGCAAGGAGGAGCGGGACCGGGACCUCCUGGAAAAGACACGCCUGCUGAGCCGGGCCUCUCCAGCGGCGCCCGUGGGCCACCCAGGCAGUGGCCUCGUGCUCCGGGGCCAGGGCGAUCCGGGCCGGCCCGGGAUCCCUGCCGAACGCGAGGCUGAGCUCCGCAUCAAGGAGAGCCGCUCCCCGGCCAGGGAGGACGGCCCCAAGCCCAGCAAGAUGGCCCUGGGGGAAGGCCUGCGCCUGGCCGGUCUCCUGGGCCGCGAGCCCGGGAAGCCGCACGAGGCGCCGGCCGAGCGGUCCCAGGGCGACGUGAAGGUCAAGGAGGAGCGCGGGGAGGACGGAGACGCGCCCCCACAGCCCGGCCCGGGCCCCGCGGGCCGCGAGCGCCCGGCCUUCGCGUGGGAGCCACCGCGCGACGCCUACCGCGGCCCGGAGCUGCCCCGCCGCGCCCCGCCGGGCCCGGGCCCCGCCGCCCUCCUCGAGCCGCCCGAGCGCCCCUACCGGGACCGCGAGCCGCACGACUACAGCCCCGAGCGCCUGCGGGAGGCGCGCCGCGACGAGCUAGAGCGCGCCCGGGCCGCGCACCUGGACGGCGCGGCGCUGCUGCCGGCGCUGGGCGCCCUGCACUACCCGCGCCUCGCGCCCGCCGCCGCCGCCCUGCACAACAGUCUCCUGGCGCGGACCCCGCCCGCCGCCGCCGCGCUCGGCGCGCCGCCGCCGCUGGUGGCCGCAGGCGGGCCCCCCACGCCCCCCGGGCAGCCGCGGAGCAGGACUACGCCGCUGGGGGCCCGCGCGCCGGGUGAGGCCCGCGACUACUCCCCGUCCCGCAACCCCCAGGAGGUAGAGGCGCGGUAG
rnacentral:lncRNA from 1 species